rnacentral:rRNA from 1 species
UAAGGAAUAUUGCUCAAUGGGAGAAAUCCUGAAGCAGCAACGCCGCGUGGAGGAUGAAGGGUCUAUGACUUGUAAACUCCUGUAAAGAAGGAAAAAAUUCCCAUUAGAUGGGAGAUGAUGGUACUUCUGGAGUAAGCCCCGGCUAACUACGUGCCAGCAGCCGCGGUAAUACGUAGGGGGCAAGCGUUGUCCGGAUUUACUGGGUGUAAAGGGUGCUCAGGCGGAUUUGUAAGUCAGAGGUGAAAUCUUACAGCUUAACUGUGAAACAGCCUUUGAUACUGCAAGCCUAGAGUAUGGAAGAGAGUGAUGGAAUAUCUGGUGUAGCAGUGAAAUGCGUAGAUAUCAGAUAGAACACCAAUGGCGAAGGCAGUCACUUGGUCCAUUACUGACGCUAAAGCACGAAAGCGUGGGUAGCAAACA